GGAAUAACCUUGCGAAAGUAAGACUAUUACCCAAUGACAUCCCACGAAGGCAUCUGAAUGCGAUUAAAGAUUUAUCGGUGAUGGAUGGGGAUGCGUCUGAUUAGCUUGUUGGCGGGGUAACGGCCCACCAAGGCGACGCUCAGUAGGGGUUCUGAGAGGAAGGUCCCCCACAUUGGAACUGAGACACGGUCCAAACUCCUACGGGAGGCAGCAGUGAGGAAUAUUGGUCAAUGGGCGAGAGCCUGAACCAGCCAAGUAGCGUGCAGGAUGACGGCCCUAUGGGUUGUAAACUGCUUUUAUAAGGGAAUAAAGUGAGUCUCGUGAGACUUUUUGCAUGUACCUUAUGAAUAAGGACCGGCUAAUUCCGUGCCAGCAGCCGCGGUAAUACGGAAGGUCCGGGCGUUAUCCGGAUUUAUUGGGUUUAAAGGGAGCGUAGGCCGGAGAUUAAGCGUGUUGUGAAAUGUAGAGGCUCAACCUCUGCACUGCAGCGCGAACUGGUCUUCUUGAGUACGCACAACGUGGGCGGAAUUCGUGGUGUAGCGGUGAAAUGCUUAGAUAUCACGAAGAACUCCGAUUGCGAAGGCAGCUCACGGGAGCGCAACUGACGCUGAAGCUCGAAAGUGCGGGUAUCGAACAGGAUUAGAUACCCUGGUAGUCCGCACGGUAA
rnacentral:rRNA from 1 species